rnacentral:rRNA from 1 species
CCAGCAGCCGCGGUAAUACGUAGGGGGCGAGCGUUGCUCGGAAUUACUGGGUGUAAAGGGUUCGUAGGCGGUGUGGCAAGUCGGGAGUGAAAUCUCUGGGCUUAACUCAGAGGCUGCUUCCGAAACUGCUGUGCUAGAGUGCGGGAGAGGCGCGUGGAAUUGCAGGUGUAGCGGUGAAAUGCGUAGAUAUCUGCAGGAACACCCGUGGCGAAAGCGGCGCUCUGGACCGAGACUGACGCUGAGGCGCGACAGCGUGGGGAGCAAACAGGAUUAGAUACCCUGGUA